GCCUUUCAAUCUGUCUCCGAUGUAUUCAUAAAGAACUUCAGUCAUUUGACUCUCGACCUGAAUACAAAAUUGCCAUCCAUUCAACCAGAAUAUCCAUCGCAAGCAACUAGGGGGCGACUUGGGGAAGAUGUCAUCUACAGGAAGAAAGGGGUGAGGAUGAUGCUGAGUGCUCGCAGACCGAGAGUGGAAUGGCUGAUUCGAUACACGGUUCGGCGAACCUCUGACAAAAUCAAGAAUGGAAAGACUUAAAUAACACCUGUACUUACUGCCUGUAUAAUAGAGAUCCUGCUGAGGGUAACUUAUGAGGAAUCUAUAUAGUUUGCAUUUGAGGGACUUGACUGUACUUUAGUUCCACUUUGAUUUGACACAAAGAAGCACUAACUGGUCUCAGGUUUUGCCUGUUUUGGAAGCCUCAAGUCCAGACGUGAAACCUAGCAUCAAGAAUUUGAAACAGGAAUUCUCAUCAUGGCUCAGUGAUGAUGUACCCGAUUAGUAUCCAUGAGGUCCAGGGUUCGAUCUCUGGCCUUGCUCAGUGGGUUAAAGUUUUUGGCAUUGCCGUGAGCUUCUGUGUAGGCUGCAGAUGAGGCUCAGAUCUGGUGUUGCUGUGUCUGGGGCAUAGGCCAGCAGCUGCAGCUCCAAUUCAACCCUCUGCCUGGGAACUUCCAAGUGCCGGCCCUAAAAAGACCAAAAAAAAAAAAAGAAUGUGAAGCAAAUCAACUUGUGUGGGAAGAAUCUAAAGAAAAUGUUGGUAGUUUGGCUAGAAUAUCACUAGAGCAGCUAUUGAAUUGUUAGAAAAAUUUUUGAUGUGCUGUUUUAAUUUUCUGUAGCAAAUAAAUGUGCACAGAGGAUGAUCUGAUUAAAACUUGAGACAUUUGAGUACCUUUAAAUAAAAUUCUUGUUCUUAUUUUAAACUUAUUAUUGCUAGCUAUGUAAAUAAACAAUACUUACCCCAUCACAUUCCCAGGAUAUAAAUAUCUGACAUUCUCAUUUCUGGUAAGACUGUCCUGUUGGGAAGGAAGUUUGUCUGUCUUCAGAGUCCACGUUUUGUUUUUUUUUUCUGGUUUUUUUUGUUUUUGUCUUUUUCCCUUUUCUAGGGCCACUCCCGCGGCAUAUGGAGGUUCCUAGGCUAGGGGUUGAAUCGGAGCUGUAGCCACCAGCCUAACCAGAGCCACAGCAACGCAGGGUCUGAGCCGCAUCUGCAACCUACACCAAAGCUCACAGCAAUGCCAGAUCCUUAACCCACUGAGCAAGGCCAGGGACCGAACCGCAACCUCAUGGUUCCUAGUUGGAUUCGUUAACCACUGAGCCAUGACGGGAACUCCCAGAGUCCACGUUUUUAGUCACUCCUCUGGUCCUCACUUGGAAUGUCGUUUUUCCAGGGAGCAGCCCUGAUCUUUCAGUUUGAGGUGAAAUGUCUCACACUACGGCCUCAGGAUCCUGGACUCACCCGAUCACGUUGUCAUUGUCUGCUUUCUUAUCAGUCACCUGAGCAGAAUGCAAACUCCUCAAAAGAAAGGGGAACCUCUGUUCUUCAAGUGUCACUAGGGUGGUGGCAUUGACCCUGUCUUGCCUGUGACCCACAGUAAGAAAUACACCCAGCACUGGGAAUUAUGUCUAGUCACUUAUGAUGGAGCAUGAUAAUGUGAGAAAAAAGAUUGUAUACAUGUUUGUGUAACUGGGUCACCAUGCUGUACAGUAGGAAAAAUGUAUUGGGGAAAUGUUCAAAAAUUAAAUAAAAAUUAAAAUUAAAAAAAGAAUAUACCCAGUACAUGUCCAGAUAAAUAUUACUAGCUAAAAAUUUUCAGGAAAGAAUGAUUAGCUAUUGCACAAUGCACUCUGAUAUUUUCUACAGUUCCUUUUAAAAAAUUUUUUUAAAUGCUGGUAGAGAUACACAGUUUAUUUCACUAUUCAUUAGUGAGUCAAAGCCAAGUUUGAAAAGCACCAACUUAGUGCAUUGCCUGGAGCAAAGCUGGUGCAUCAUAAAUAAUUUAAUCAUUCAUUCAUUUUUAAAUCACAUGGGCAUGUAUAUUUCACACUCAUAUAUAAUAAGUCAAAAUAUUCAGAAAAAUGAGUACAUUAGUUUUCAAGGUUGUUUUGACUUUUGUCCGUUUUCCCUCUCCCCUCUCAAAACUUGUGAAUUCUGCCAGUAGUUUUGUAACAGCAAAGAUAAACUUGAGGGAAGUUUGAAAAGAGGUUAAAGAAGUUAAUCCUAAGAGUAAAGGUCAUGAGCCACAUCUUUUCUAUUGUCUUCUGACCUUUUUGGGAGGCAAGAACACUUUUAAGAUUUGUUAUCUAAGCAUGCAAGACUUACAAGACUUAAGCAGCAUUGUUACCCAAAGACUAAAAAUACCCCACCUAUCCUUAUCAAUUGCAAAUUUAUGGAGAGCUUUUUGUUUUCUUUGCUCUAGGCCCAGACAUUAAGGGCAGUCUUUUAGAUAAGAUAGGCAAUGUAAACAUUUCAGCAUUAGUAUCUUAUUUUCUUUGUCUUUGGAGAAACCAAAACAAUUCACAAACCUGUUAUCCAGAAGAGAAAUUGUUUACAAACAAGAAUUUAAAUUUUAAACUGUGUUUCUUGUGAGUUCCCGAUAUGGCUCAUCAAGUUAAGAGCCUGACUGGUAUCCAGGAGGAUUUGGGUUUAAUCCCUGGCCUUCCCCAGUGGAUUAAAGGAUUCUUCAUUCGCCCCAAGCUAUGGUGUAGGUUGCAGAUGCAGGUCGGAUCUGGCAUUUCUGUG
rnacentral:lncRNA from 1 species